rnacentral:tRNA from 1 species
GGUGGCUCAGUGGUAGAGCACUUACCUUGCAUGCAUGAGGCCCUGGGUUCGAUUCCCCAGUACCA